GAUGAACGCUAGCGGGAGGCCUAACACAUGCAAGCCGAGCGGUAUUGUUUCUUCGGAAAUGAGAGAGCGGCGUACGGGUGCGUAACACGUGUGCAACCUGCCUUUAUCUGGGGGAUAGCCUUUCGAAAGGAAGAUUAAUACUCCAUAAUAUAUUGAACGGCAUCGUUUAAUAUUUAAAGCUCCGGCGGCUAGAGAUGGGCACGCGCAAGAUUAGCUAGUUGGUGAGGUAACGGCUCACCAAGGCGAUGAUCCUUAGGGGGCCUGAGAGGGUGAUCCCCCAAACUGGGACUGAGACACGGACCAGACUCCUACGGGAGGCAGCAGUGAGGAAUAUUGGUCAAUGGGUGCAAGCCUGAACCAGCCAUCCCGCGUGAAGGACGACUGCCCUAUGGGUUGUAAACUUCUUUUGUAUAGGGAUAAACCUACCCUCGAGAGGGUAGCUGAAGGUACUAUACGAAUAAGCACCGGCUAACUCCGUG
rnacentral:rRNA from 1 species